AGGGGUGUAGCUCAGUUUGGUAGAGCAGCGGUCUCCAAAACCGCAGGUCGUGGGUUCGAGUCCUGCCACCCCUGCCA
rnacentral:tRNA from 1 species